rnacentral:tRNA from 1 species
GGGGCUAUAGCUCAGCUGGGAGAGCGCUUGCAUGGCAUGCAAGAGGUCNGCGGUUCGAUCCCGCNUAGCUCCACCA